GAUGAACGCUGGCGGCAUGCCUUACACAUGCAAGUCGAACGGCAGCACGGGAGCAAUCCUGGUGGCGAGUGGCGAACGGGUGAGCAAUGUAUCGGAACGUACCUUUCAGUGGGGGAUAACGUAGCGAAAGUUACGCUAAUACCGCAUAUUCUGUGAGCAGGAAAGCAGGGGAUCGCAAGACCUUGCGCUGAUUGAGCGGCCGAUAUCAGAUUAGCUAGUUGGUGAGGUAAAGGCUCACCAAGGCGACGAUCUGUAGCGGGUCUGAGAGGAUGAUCCGCCACACUGGAACUGAGACACGGUCCAGACUCCUACGGGAGGCAGCAGUGGGGAAUUUUGGACAAUGGGCGCAAGCCUGAUCCAGCCAUGCCGCGUGAGUGAAGAAGGCCUCGG
rnacentral:rRNA from 1 species